UACGUAGGGUGCGAGCGUUAAUCGGAAUUACUGGGCGUAAAGCGUGCGCAGGCGGUUUUGUAAGUCUGACGUGAAAUCCCCCGGGCUUAACCUGGGAAUUGCGUUGGAGACUGCAAGGCUGGAGUCUGGCAGAGGGGGGUAGAAUUCCACGUGUAGCAGCGAAAUGCGUAGAGAUGUGGAGGAACACCGAUGGCGAAGGCAGCCCCCUGGGUCAAGACUGACGCUCCAGGCACGAA
rnacentral:rRNA from 1 species